UCACUCUGGUUUUUCUGCAAGACGCAUAAAUCUUUCGCCUUUUACUAAAGAUUUCCGUGCAGAGGAACACAUUGAUGAGUCUAUAAAGAUUUUUUCCCUGCCCAGUGGAAACACAGGGCU
rnacentral:snRNA from 1 species